GAAAUGCGAUAAGUAAUGUGAAUUGCAGAAUUCCGUGAAUCAUCGAGUUUUUGAACGCACAUUGCGCCCCCUGGUAUUCCGGGGGGCAUGCCUGUUCGAGCGUCAUUACAACCCUCAAGCUCUGCUUGGUGUUGGGCCCCGCCGCCCCGGCGGGCCCUAAAAUCAGUGGCGGUGCCGUCCGGCUCCGAGCGUAGUAAUUCUUCUCGCUCUGGAGGUCCGGGUGUGUGCUCGCCAGCAACCCCCAAUUUUUUUCAGGUUGACCUCGGAUCAGGUAGGGAUACCCGCUGAACUUAA
rnacentral:misc_RNA from 1 species